CACCCCUUUAAGUGAUAGUAGGGGUGUGGGCAACCAACAAGUUCUGAUUGGCAAGAGUGGUUACCAUAGAAACAAUGACUCGGACUGACUAAAGAUCAAUCGCCGCUUAUUGAUGAUUUCUGGCACCAACAUGGUGGCGACCACAUCACAAAAAGAAAAACAAAGCAGCGACUGAAUUGAAUCACUGAAUCAUUUCGCUGAAGGCAGAAAUGGUGUUUUGUCCACAUGUUGACUGCUUCACCUCCACCGUCCUCCUUCUCCAUCCCAGAUACUGUCUGACACAGGAGCUCUUCAGGGGCCGAUGGAGCCUGUUCAAUCAUCUCCAUCAGCAGCUUUGCACGUGUGCUGCAUGACCUUCUGCACAUCUCAGGCAUGCAUGAUUGCACAACUCCUCCUCCUCCAUCUGUGCCCCACUGACUGUGCCGCCGGCAGCUUUACCCGAGGUCGCCUCACCUUCUCCUGGAGCUUCAUGGUCGUCCCAGGCGGCGAGAAAACCAGGAGCAAAAUGUGAUCCUCGUGUGAUCCGAAGCUCUGCGGUGUCCACAGAUGGAAAGCUCUCCUCUUUCUGG